AAAGUCUGAAAAGAAGAGACUUUGGUUUAUUAGAAUAAUAAUCGUUUCACCUUUCGGCCAACAAAGGGAGAUGAGAAGACGAGAUCCUCGUAGACGCAGUCCUGAGCGAUGAGGUCUGUGACAGAGGAUAAAUCAUGGACGUUAACGGCGGCGUAGAAGCUGGAGACGACCUCCGACGCUGAUGUCGGAGCUGUUUCUGGAACAACGUCGUUGGCUGUAGCAGCUUUUGCAGCUGGACCAUAGGAUGCGGACAAUCUCGGAGGCUGUGAAUGAGUGAGGCUUGUUGGCUUGACAAGUUUGGUUGGGAGGAAGAAGGAAGGAGGAAGAUGGUUGAGCGAGACGAGUGAGGGAGACGUCAAAUAAGAGACGAGAGAAGCAGUGAAGCUCAUCGUCGUUU